GGAUGUGAGGGCGAUCUGGCUGAGACAUCUGUCACCCCAUUGAUCUCCAGGGUUGAUCCGGCUGAUAUGGCUAGGCGAGUGUCUCCCCCCUCCCUCACCAAUCCAUGUGCAUCCCUCCCAAGCUGUGAGCUUGGUGGAGGAGGAUGACUUUCCUCCAGAGGAGAGGACCCAUCUUUGGUCAAGGGUAGAGGAGUAGCUUCACUCCCCUGCUAGAACUUCCAAACAAGCUCUCAUGUGUAUUGUUGUUUCAUAUUUCCAUCAACUGAUCGUUAAAGUUUCCUGAUCAAAACUUAUGAGAUCACAAAUGCUUCAAGCUUUUAAGAUUUGUUUUUCUCU
rfam:Myotis davidii contig164860, whole genome shotgun sequence.